AUGCCACCCUCUGACCUGCUGUGGAUAUUGGUGCUUUUGAUCUGUUCUGGAUCCAGUGUGGCCCAGAAACUGACUCAAGUACAGCCAGCCAUAUCCAGGCCAGAGGGAGAAACAGUCACCCUGGACUGUUCCUAUGAGACAAGUUUGAACUCCUACUACCUUUGUUGGUACAAGCAACUUCCCAGUGGAGAGAUGAUUUUUCUUAUUUAUCAGUUUUCUUCUGGUUCAACUAUAAAGAUUGAUCGCCAUUCUGUCAACUUCCAGAAAGGAAUUAAGUCCAUCAGCCUUAUUAUUUCAGCCUUACAAUUUGAAGAUUCUGCAAAGUACUUCUGUGCUCUCUUUGAGGGCACAGUGUCUGAAGUGAUAGUAAGAGCUGAACAAAAACUCAGCAGACUCUUACUGUAA